rnacentral:rRNA from 1 species
UGGCCUACGGGGCGCAGCAGUAGGGAAUUUUCGUCAAUGAGCGCAAGCCUGAACGAGCAAUGCCGCGUGAACGAGGAAGGUCUUCGGAUCGUAAAGUUCUGUUGAAGGGGAAAAAGAGCGGAGAGAGGAAAUGCUUUCUGAUUGAUAUUACCCUUCGAGGAAGUCACGGCUAACUACGUGCCAGCAGCCGCGGUAAUACGUAGGUGGCGAGCGUUAUCCGGAAUGAUUGGGCGUAAAGCGUGCGUAGGCUGUUUCGUAAGUCGUGUGUGAAAGGCGCGGGCUCAACCCGCGGACGGCACAUGAUA